UAUAAACUUAAGGGUAAAAACGCAAAAAAAAGGGUAAACUUAAAGGUUUUUUUGCGAAUUUAAUAUAAUGGUAACCUAGAAAACCUGUUAUCACCGGUAAUUAAAAGGGUAAAACCGAACAUUUUUUCGAAAAUGUUUGGGUAAAAACGAACAUAAAUUUCCACUUUAGACAAAACCGACAAAACCCUAAAAACUUGAGGGUUUUUAUGACAUUAACCCAAUGAUUUCCUAUCUCAUUAGGGAUUGAUCCAAAGUCCUUAUUGUGGCACUUUUUCAAUUGAAUUUAAAGGUGAAGAGUACAACGAAAAUAAACUAAACCGUGUGGUGGAAGCUAUAGAUGAGCUACACAAGUUGCUUAAUGAGUUGAUAGAACAUAACAAAGAAGGGUGUCGUCUUUAACCACAUGUGGGUGUUUUGACUGGGGAUUCUUAUAAGCAGGUUUACUGUUUCUGAUCUCGGAGGGAAUAUGGUAAAGGAUUCAGAGGGUGGGUGUGGCUAUAGAGCAUGGGAUUGAGUACAAUGAUAACAAAUAUGUAAAAUGUCUAUUAAGCAAAGACAAAAGUCGUUUUAACCCAUGCGGAGCAUGGGAUCUUCAUUAGUUUAUAAUUAAGAAUGACCGUUAUUUUACUCAUGCAAACACAUGUAUG